CAAGAUGAGCUGAAGAGGUGAUUCAAGAUAGCUGGCGUGGCUUUGUUAAGGGCAGAUUGUACCUGACCAAUCUGGUGGCCUUCUGUGAUGGAGUAAUGGCAUCGGUGGACAGGGGAAGGGCAACGCGUGUCAUCUAUCUGGAGUUCUGCAAAGCCUUUGACGUGGUCCCUCACCACAUCGUUCUCUCUAAACUGGGGAGGUGUGGAUUUGAAGGAUGGACUGUUCAGUGGAUUAGGAAUUGGCUGAUUGGACGCAGCCAAAGGGUUGUGAUGAAUGGUUCUGUGUCAGGGUGGAGGCUGUGUAUGGAAGUGUGACUGCUACCUUUCUUGGGUGAUGUGAAACUGAUAGAAGGCAGCUGUAUCUACUGUCUCCUAUUCUUAAAAACAGUUACUGGGAUUUUUCAUUGUUCUUGCUGACUGUUCUGUUGAACGUAAAUAAGAUGGAGGUCAAUUUUUUUUUUUUUUUUUUUGUCUCUUCUAAAAAAAUGGUUUUUUUUGAUUAAAAAAUACUCUAGAACUAAUUUGUCGUGUUCUGUGGAAUGCUUUUUUUUCCCUUGAUACUGUAUAUAUUGUUGCCUGUUGACCAAAAUGUGAAAAACAUGCCCACUUGGUACAGGCAAUAAGGGAGGUGAAGUACUGGAGAGGAAAUUAAUGAAAAAUCUAAUGAAGAGAAAAUGUAAAUGUGUUAUGUCCUUAAUACAUAAAUAAGGUGUUUAUAUUCCUAAGGCUUUAGAUCUUAAGAAGUAUUGAUUUAACUUCCUGUUCAGUGUUAUGCAAAGGUCAUAUUCAUAUUUCCUUUGUCUAAAAAACACUCUACUUUGCUUGAUAGUAUUUGAUGAAUACAGCACUUAACAUUCAUUACGUGGUGAAGAUAAGAAAGUUGAAAACAGCUUAGAGAAAUGCAGAAUGAUUGCCUUAU
ensembl:lncRNA